rnacentral:rRNA from 1 species
AAUCAUUGCUAAGUGUGAAAGGAUGUGGGAAUCCCAUAACAACCAGGAUGUUGGCUUAGAAGCAGCCAUCAUUUAAAGAAAGCGUAACAGCUCACUGGUCUAAACAAGGGUUCCUGCGCCGAAAAUGUAUCGGGGCUAAAGCAAUGUACCGAAGACGCGGGUGUGCAGCAAUGCACGCGGUAGCGGAGCGUUCCGUAAGCCAGUGAAGGGAGACCCGUGAGGGCUCCUGGAGGUAUCGGAAGUGCGAAUGCAGACAUGAGUAACGAAAGGGGUGUGAGAAACACCCCCUCCGAAAGUCCAAGGGUUCCUGCGUAAAGUUAAUCUGCGCAGGGGUUAGCCGGCCCCUAAGGCGAGGGCGAAAGCCGUAGUCGAUGGGAACCACGUUAAUAUUCGUGGGCCAGUGGGUGUGUGACGGAUGCAGCAAGUUGUUGAGGCUUAUUGGAUUGCCGAGGCAGCGAAUGUGUCCCAGGAAAUAGCCCCCACAUAGACCGUACCCGAAACCGACACAGGUGGACUGGUAGAGAAUACCAAGGAG